AGAAUCAACGCUGGCGGCGUGCCUAACACAUGCAAGUCGAACGAGAAAGUGGAGCAAUCCGUGAGUAAAGUGGCGCACGGGUGAGUAACACGUGACUAACCUACCCUUGAGUGGGGGAUAACCUAGAGAAAUCUGGGCUAAUACCGCAUAAUACCUUCGGGUCAAAGGAGCAAUUCGCUUAAGGAGGGGGUCGCGGCCGAUUAGUUAGUUGGCGGGGUAAUGGCCCACCAAGACUGUGAUCGGUA
rnacentral:rRNA from 1 species